rnacentral:rRNA from 1 species
CGUUUAGGGGUAAACCUGAGAAACCCGAAAGGUCGAAGGGAGAAAUUCAUUCGUGUUUCGUUGUAGGCAUCGAAUGGACUUUAGUGUGUGACAAAAACGGCGGCGGGAUUUUUCGGAAUUUUCGCUUGUUGUGUGUUGCACCGGGUCUGUUUGUUUGAGCCGAUGGCGAAUGCGUGCACUUUUCUCCUGGUAGGACAUCGCGAUCCGUCGAGUAUCGGUUUAUGGCUUAGUGGUGGAGAUCAUUUGUUUGCGAGUUUUUUUUAUCGAAAAUGAGCGAAUUGAAUGAACCCACUUUGUUUCCUAACCGAUUUGCUUAACGGUAUCAAAUGUGGUUGUUUGUUAAAAAAUCGGUCGCCACUCUUGCGGGGCGUUCGGCUUAUUGCAAGCGCACUAAUUGUUUAAUUGAAAAUCGGGCUUAGUUUACUACACGUAAACAUGUGACAUUUUGCAUUUCCGGGGCGUCUCGUUCUCAUUGCGAGUUGAGGCGCACCAAGAGCGUACACGCUGGGACCCGAAAGAUGGUGAACUAUGCCUGGUCAGGAUGAAGUCAGGGGAAACCCUGAUGGAGGUCCGUAGCGAUUCUGACGUGCAAAUCGAUCGUCGGAACNGGGUA